CUCGGUGUUCCAUAAAGCCACUUGUAACAUUUCCAUCUGCUGCACAUAAAAACAGCCAGGCAGACAGCCUGCUGACCAGUGGUUGUAGUGAUGAACUCUCUCAUGUUCUGAGGCUGCCCCUCCCUCCCAGCCUUCCCAGGGUAGGAAACGGACUGACCGGCAAAUAAAACUGGGGCAUACUGAAGAGGUCAGAGACCAAAGUGACCUCUAGAGCGUGAGUGAUGCACAACCCCCAUGGACUAUUCUUGUUUUAAUGACCAAAUGCAGCCACUAAAUGGUCUUCCUGGUGUCAGCUCAUGACUGAAGAGAACAGAAUAUUUCUAGAAUCUUAGAGGUGGCUAUAGCAGAAGCCUCAUCAGAGCAAGAAAAGGGAAAAAAAAUAGUUGAAUUUUCCUUUUCCCAUCACUGCAUUUGCCACUUUGUACAUAGAGGGCAGAUUCAGUUACCAGCUACCGUGUUAAGGAUUGUGAGCACUGAGCUAACACCCAGCAAACUCCUACAGGGACAGAGCCUUAAGAUAGCAUCAGACUCUCUGCGGCUAUUCCCACCAAAGGGGAGACGUUCCCUCUGGAGCCAUAGGUUAAGACCACUGGGUUGCGUCCCAAGAGCCUGCCUGAAAGGGCAAAGGAGGUCCAGCAGAAUACAACUGCCAGAGGGAUAAAAUGCACUGCUCAUGGCAGGAGGGGCCCAGCUGAGGCAAAGGUCUCCUAUGAGAGUCAGCUUGAAAGAUGUCAGGCUGUGUCAUCACCUUGCUGUCUUCUGAUGGUGCCCCCCAAGUGAGAAACUUUCUUCCAUGCCCGCACUCCCAGGCCUCCUGUCUUCUGAGGCUCCAAGCCUUUCCGGAGGUGGGGAGUCAGUAAAGGUGGCAACUCUCAGGUGGCAGAGAAGGUGAGAAAUGAGACUCUGCUAUCUCCUUCCUAGGCAGCAACCUUGAAUGGAGUGGCAAGUUGUCUACUCAAGACUGAAACAUUUAAAUUAAAUAACUAAGGUUAUUUGGAUAAUUUUAAAGUGACCAGAG
rnacentral:lncRNA from 12 species